rnacentral:rRNA from 1 species
CACGGGGGGAGCAAGCGUUGUUCGGAAUCACUGGGCGUAAAGGGCGUGUAGGCGGUCAAGUAAGUGGAAUGUGAAAUCCCCCGGCUCAACCGGGGAACUGCAUCGGAUACUGGUGGACUCGAGAGUUGUAGGGGUGGACGGAACUCCAGGUGGAGCGGUGAAAUGCGUAGAUAUCUGGAGGAACACCGGAGGCGAAAGCGGUCCACUGGGCAACUUCUGACGCUGAGGUGCGAAAGCUAGGGUAGCAAACGGG